rnacentral:rRNA from 1 species
AGUUUGUUCCUGGUUCAGGAUGAACGCUGGCGGGCGUGCUUAACACAUGCAAUUCGAAACGAAUGAACUCAAACGGAUUUCUUCGGGAAUGAAGUUUGGAUGAUUUUAGUGGCGAACGGGGUGAGUAACACGUGAGAAACCUGCCUUUCACAGAGGGAUAGCCGUUGGAAACGACGAUUAAUACCUCAUGACAUCAAGAUACCGCAUGGUAAUUUGAUUAAAGAUUUAUCGGUGAAAGAUGGUCUCGCGUCUGAUUAGCUAGUUGGUAAGGUAGUGGCUUACCAAGGCGACGAUCAGUAGCCGGCCUGAGAGGGUGAACGGCCACACUGGAACUGAGACACGGUCCAGACUCCUACGGGAGGCAGCAGUGGGGAAUUUUGCACAAUGGGGGAAACCCUGAUGCAGCGACGUCGCGUGAACGAUGAAGGCCUUCGGGUUGUAAAGUUCUGUCCUUGGCGAAGAUAAUGACAGUAGCCAAGAAGCAAGCCCCGGCUAAAUACGUGCCAGCAGCCGCGGUAAUACGUAUGGGGCGAGCGUUGUCCGGAAUUAUUGGGCGUAAAGGGUACGUAGGCGGUUAUGUGGGUCCGUAUUAAAAGGCAUUGGCUCAACCAAUGUUCGGUAUGGAAACUGCAUAACUUGAGUAGAUGAGGGGUAAGUGGAAUUCCUAGUGUAGCGGUGAAAUGCUUAGAUAUUAGGAGGAAUACCAGUGGCGAAGGCGACUUACUGGAAUCUAACUGACGCUGAGGUACGAAAGCGUGGGGAGCAAACAGGAUUAGAUACCCUGGUAGUCCACGCUGUAAACGAUGAGUGCUAGGUGUCGGGAGUCAAAUCUCGGCGCCGCCGCUAACGCAU